UGGGGAAUAUUGGACAAUGGGCGCAAGCCUGAUCCAGCCAUGCCGCGUGAGUGAUGAAGGCCCUAGGGUUGUAAAGCUCUUUCACCGGUGAAGAUAAUGACGGUAACCGGAGAAGAAGCCCCGGCUAACUUCGUGCCAGCAGCCGCGGUAAUACGAAGGGGGCUAGCGUUGUUCGGAUUUACUGGGCGUAAAGCGCACGUAGGCGGACUUUUAAGUCAAGGGUGAAAUCCCGGGGCUCAACCCCGGAACUGCCUUUGAUACUGGAAGUCUUGAGUAUGGUAGAGGUGAGUGGAAUUCCGAGUGUAGAGGUGAAAUUCGUAGAUAUUCGGAGGAACACCAGUGGCGAAGGCGGCUCACUGGACCAUUACUGACGCUGAGGUGCGAAAGCGUGGGGAGCAAACAGG
rnacentral:rRNA from 1 species